rnacentral:lncRNA from 1 species
GCACUGGUAUCCACGGCUGAGAAACUCACAGAUGGUUCAUAUCACAGAACUCUGUGCAGACAACCCCCAGUACCAUCCCAGAGCCGGGUAGAUUAAAUCAGGAAGAAUUAGAUACCCUGAACAGACCAAUAAAAGCAGCAAGAUUGAAAUGGCAAUUUAAAAAUUACCAACAGAAAAAAGGUCAAGGACCAGACAGAUUCACAGAAGAAUUUUUAAAUUAUGUCCAGUCAUUACUGUAAUAAUGAUUAAACGUAAACUUUAAUUGGGUAUGCAGAAGUAGAAUAGUCUAGAAAGAAGUCUCCCUGGGUGACAUUCCUUACCUCGCUAAAUGUAUAACCUUCAGCUGCUAGUCCUUCACCUUGCAGGCUCAAAAGCUUAAUUUCACCUUUACAUAAAGAGCAGGUCUGUCUCUGGGAGAAGCAGUGAAACUCACUUUAAUUACAGUUAUGAAAUGAGGUAUAUUAAUUUAAGACGAGACCUCAUUGCACCAGUAGACAGCAUGCCUUCUGGAUAAAUGGUUCGUUCUUUUUCUAUGUUUAGUAAAGCAACAUGGUUAGGUAAAUGAGAAUCACUGGUUUACACUAGGAAAUGACUGAUAAGAUCUAGAAGCCCAUUUGGUCACCACAAAAUCUGGAGAUACCUAUCAAGAAAACUAUACAUAGUUAGAAGGUUUCUUGGAAUCAAAAGAAAUUCAAUACAUUGAAUGUUUAAUGGCUUCACUUUCUCUGAGCCACUCAUAGCAUGAGAAUCAGAUGCACUUAAUAGAAUUGUGGUACUCAGGUGCCAAGGAUUGUUUUCUUACCAGAUGGUCCCUACACACACACAAGCCAAUUCCUUCAUCUGGUGCUCAACUGAAGAAAAAGUCACUCGUUCCAAAGCUGGAGGAAAAACUGGCAGAACUGGAUUCAGCUGUGAGACAGCAUGCUGUGGCCUCCAACGUGGCAUUAUUCUAAA